GUUUUUGAAUGCUAUAAGUUUCUUAUGGUUUACCUCCAUGCUUUGUUUCUAGUUGUUUCAAAUGAAGACUUUUGCAAACUCGUUAAGUCUAAGAAAAUGUUAUAGUGAAAAGUGUUGAAAUUCGUAUUUGUUUUUUUUCAUGAACUUCAUGUUAAUUUCACAGAGUGCAAUCAAAUUAUAAGAACACUUAAACAAUAAGGCAAGUACAUUGAUUUGUACGAUUAAUGACAAGAUUUGCAAUCAAUAUGAAAUAUGGUCAAAUGCUGAAUUUAAAACAUCUAUAAACAAACUAAUGUACUUAUUUCCCAAUUUACACUUUAAAGUAUCGGUAUUUAGCAGUAAUUAUUAAUCGGAAUAAAUAUUAUGACUCAUCAUGUAAGGAUCAAAAUACGUUGACAGAUGCUGUAACUCAUAUGUAUGUAGUCAUUGAAUAAAAAUAAUCCAACAUGAUAUUUCGGAAUAUGCAUUGCAUAUAUGAGGCAUACACGUGAGCUAAUCAUAAUAGAUGUUUAUUUUAUUCCUUUACAGGCUGAACUAGAGUGGUGGCAUAUGAAUCAAUUGUGAAACAAAACUUAAUUUCAGAUUGAAAGGUACGCAUAAAGUGUUGAUUAUAUAAUGGUAACAUUUAGCUCAUUGAUAGGAAAAAUAUAUGGUAGUUAUUUUCUGAAAUAAACUAAAACAUAUGCAAAAGUGCAUAUUUGCAUACACUAUUUUAAGUACACUUAUAUCCAUUUGUAAAUAUGGGUAAUUAUUCUGCGGAAAUAAGAUAUGAUUGAGUUAUUUCACUUAUGGGUACUAUAUUUGAAUAUAACUUCGUUUGCCUGAAGCUUUACUGUCAAACAACAUGUGUGAAGUCUUUUCCCCAGAAAACGAAAAAUCACAAAAUUUGUUUUUGUAUGUAAUUCCUUUUUGCGAAAUGGUACUUGAUUGAAACAUGUACAUGUAUACUACAAAUGUUUUAGUCUUACUGAAAGGCGUACAGUUCUAUAAAAUGUAGUUAUUAAAUCCAAUUGCCGCACAUAUAAUACUUUGCAUUAAGAUUUUGAUGGAUAAUCGUGUUAAUAUGUGUUGGUCAAAUCAUCUCAUGUCUACGAGAACUAACAUUACUACUUUUGAACAAUUUGUGUACAAUCUAUAUAAACUUGUUACGCUUAUCUAAUACUACGAAAAUGACAAUAUCAUUGUAUAUCAUAUAUGUUUUAUUUUUUAUUUUAGGUCUCUCUGACUGAUUUCAACGCUGCAAAAUGGGGUUUAUAAAUCCAUUGAAGUAUACGAAAGACAUUUCAAAGAAUUGAAAUCGACUAAAUCAAUUUGAAAACAAAAAGAAAUGUAUUAAUGUGAUAAGAAUAGCACGUUAACAUGUUUAAUUAUAAUGCAGAUUAAUUGAAGUUGAGUGAAUUAUACAACCAUAAAGAAUGGGAAUAUGUAUCCACACACUUAAGUGGACAGUUAUUUUAAAUAUCAUGAAUAUUACGCCAAAAGAUAAUUCACUGGCUAGAAAAUCUGCUGAUAUACAGUACUUUCCGCGAGGAUUAUCCGAAAGAAAAUUCGAGGAUUUAACGAUGUACAAUUCCUUUCCGGAGGAUUAACGAGUCCGGUCAAGCAUAUGCAUUUCAAGUAUUUGAAAACCGAUAAGAUGGAUUGUUGUCAAGGACACAACAACUAAGAACGAAAAAGCAUGCUAGGAUUGUUUGUUGACUGUCCCUUUGGUAUCUUUCGUCCCUCUUUUAAGAACAUGUUAGUAGUAAUUCAAUUUUAUAAAACAAACAUUGUCAAAGAUAAAUACAUAAAGAUAAUCAAACAUAAGUAAAUAAACUCAUCAUAGAUACCAGGAUCAAAAUUUUAUAUUUACGCCAGACGCGCGUUUCGUCUAAAAAAAAGACUCAUCAAUGACGCUCGAAUAAAAAAAAAAUGUUUAAAGGCCAAAUAGAGUACAAAGUAAAAGAGCAAAUUAGUUUAAAAAACAAAAACAAUACUUCUCUUUAUCAAUUUAACUUCUUGCGACCGAUAAUUUGAUUGUUUUAUUGAAUCACAAAAAUCGCAGAGGUCCAUGGCACGUCACGUCUAAAAUAUUGUUUUUCGAAUUCUCAAUCUGUAUAUUUUGCACUUUUCUACUAUAAGAUGCACAUUGUUAGGUAUCAUUGAAGAUUAAAUAUGUUAAAAAUUGUUAUUUUCCGUUGUUUUCCUUUAAGGCAUCAUGUACACAAACUUGUUGAGUAACCACAUUUAUCUUUAUACUCCUACAAUUCAAAAUAGUGAAUGUAUAGUUAUCCGAUUGCUGUACAACUUUCAGAUAAAUUCGAGCUAUACAUUUUCUUGUUAUUUAAUCUGUACAUACUUUUGAAUGUAUUUAACAUAAAUAACUAAUUUUGAAAUAGCGUAAACUAUGCAAUAGAUGUUCUUUUACUAAGAUAGUAAAUGAAAUAGUUUGAAAAAACGUGUUGAUGAAAACAAAAUGAUUUAGCGAAUACCAUGGUUUAGUUUUUUUUUCUUUGCAAACGGUAGUGUUGAUAACAUUGCAAUCCAUAUACACACUAAAAUAUUAUAUAUGUUUUCUCUGAUGCACAUUCGAAAAAAUAUGUUAAAACGCCAAUGAAGAUGAUUUUCAUUUUCUUUUAAAAUGUCCUUCUCUAAAGAUAGAAGAUCACAACAUCGG
rnacentral:lncRNA from 1 species